UACGGGGGGAGCAAGCGUUGUUCGGAUUUACUGGGCGUAAAGGGCGCGUAGGCGGCCUCUGCAAGUCAGUUGUGAAAUCUCCGGGCUUAACUCGGAAAGGUCAACUGAUACUGCAGGGCUAGAGUGCGGAAGGGGCAAGCUGGAAUUCUCGGUGUAGCGGUGAAAUGCGUAGAUAUCGAGAGGAACACCUGCGGCGAAGGCGGGUUGCUGGGCCGACACUGACGCUGAAGCGCGAAAGCCAGGGGAGCGAACGGG
rnacentral:rRNA from 1 species